rnacentral:rRNA from 1 species
GGUUAAGCGACUAAGCGUACACGGUGGAUGCCCUGGCAGUCAGAGGCGAUGAAGGACGUGCUAAUCUGCGAUAAGCGUCGGUAAGGUGAUAUGAACCGUUAUAACCGGCGAUUUCCGAAUGGGGAAACCCAGUGUGAUUCGUCACACUAUCAUUAACUGAAUCCAUAGGUUAAUGAGGCGAACCGGGGGAACUGAAACAUCUAAGUACCCCGAGGAAAAGAAAUCAACCGAGAUUCCCCCAGUAGCGGCGAGCGAACGGGGAGCAGCCCAGAGCCUGAAUCAGUGUGUGUGUUAGUGGAAGCGUCUGGAAAGGCGCGCGAUACAGGGUGACAGCCCCGUACACAAAAAUGCACAUGCUGUGAGCUCGAUGAGUAGGGCGGGACACGUGGUAUCCUGUCUGAAUAUGGGGGGACCAUCCUCCAAGGCUAAAUACUCCUGACUGACCGAUAGUGAACCAGUACCGUGAGGGAAAGGCGAAAAGAACCCCGGCGAGGGGAGUGAAAAAGAACCUGAAACCGUGUACGUACAAGCAGUGGGAGCCUCUUUAUGGGGUGACUGCGUACCUUUUGUAUAAUGGGUCAGCGACUUAUAUUCUGUAGCAAGGUUAACCGAAUAGGGGAGCCGAAGGGAAACCGAGUCUUAACUGGGCGUUAAGUUGCAGGGUAUAGACCCGAAACCCGGUGAUCUAGCCAUGGGCAGGUUGAAGGUUGGGUAACACUAACUGGAGGACCGAACCGACUAAUGUUGAAAAAUUAGCGGAUGACUUGUGGCUGGGGGUGAAAGGCCAAUCAAACCGGGAGAUAGCUGGUUCUCCCCGAAAGCUAUUUAGGUAGCGCCUCGUGAAUUCAUCUCCGGGGGUAGAGCACUGUUUCGGCAAGGGGGUCAUCCCGACUUACCAACCCGAUGCAAACUGCGAAUACCGGAGAAUGUUAUCACGGGAGACACACGGCGGGUGCUAACGUCCGUCGUGAAGAGGGAAACAACCCAGACCGCCAGCUAAGGUCCCAAAGUCAUGGUUAAGUGGGAAACGAUGUGGGAAGGCCCAGACAGCCAGGAUGUUGGCUUAGAAGCAGCCAUCAUUUAAAGAAAGCGUAAUAGCUCACUGGUCGAGUCGGCCUGCGCGGAAGAUGUAACGGGGCUAAACCAUGCACCGAAGCUGCGGCAGCGACACUAUGUGUUGUUGGGUAGGGGAGCGUUCUGUAAGCCUGCGAAGGUGUACUGUGAGGUAUGCUGGAGGUAUCAGAAGUGCGAAUGCUGACAUAAGUAACGAUAAAGCGGGUGAAAAGCCCGCUCGCCGGAAGACCAAGGGUUCCUGUCCAACGUUAAUCGGGGCAGGGUGAGUCGACCCCUAAGGCGAGGCCGAAAGGCGUAGUCGAUGGGAAACAGGUUAAUAUUCCUGUACUUGGUGUUACUGCGAAGGGGGGACGGAGAAGGCUAUGUUGGCCGGGCGACGGUUGUCCCGGUUUAAGCGUGUAGGCUGGUUUUCCAGGCAAAUCCGGAAAAUCAAGGCUGAGGCGUGAUGACGAGGCACUACGGUGCUGAAGCAACAAAUGCCCUGCUUCCAGGAAAAGCCUCUAAGCAUCAGGUAACAUCAAAUCGUACCCCAAACCGACACAGGUGGUCAGGUAGAGAAUACCAAGGCGCUUGAGAGAACUCGGGUGAAGGAACUAGGCAAAAUGGUGCCGUAACUUCGGGAGAAGGCACGCUGAUA